AGGUACCGCUCUUCGCACUGCCCGCUGGUCACUCGGUACAAGUGACCAGCGGGUGGGU
rnacentral:ncRNA from 1 species